rnacentral:rRNA from 1 species
GUCUAUGGCCAUGCUACCCUGAACAAGCCUGAUCCUGUCUGAUCUUGGUAGCUAAGCAGGGUCAGGCCUGGUUAGUAUUUGGAUGGGAGACCACCUGGGAAGACCAGGUGCUGUAGGCA